rnacentral:lncRNA from 1 species
AUUCUUUUUUUUUUUAAAUCUCACUUUUUCUGCAAUUUCAUGUUACUUAAACAUAGAUAACUUCAUCAUGAAUAAAACUUUUCGAAUGAAACUUUGUAUACUCCUUCCUUACACAUAGGGCUCAUUGUUUUCGGUUUGAAUAAUAAAAAAAAAGUACAGAGAGUUUUCUGGAAUUUGGUUUUAACUGGAAAGGGUCAGUGAAAGCAGAUUUACCAGAGCUAAGACAGCGAUCCGGGGGGUUGCAGCUGCAAACCUACAUGUGCUCCGAAUGCAAAGCAGCCUGGCAAAGUCAAGGUCAUGCAUCAGUCUGCCACCGAAGCAAUCCUUGCUUUUUCUUAUUUGCAUCUGUUUUGCCUGCCAUUGCAACAGAAAUGAUGUGGGAGUACAUACAGGGGACUGGAGUGCCCUGGCCUGGGUCCUCACAGUCUUCACAUUGAGGUCACUGUGGCGUUCGAGUUGGGCAAGCUCAGUGAUAUUGACGUGGGCUCCCAUCAACCUAGUAAUAUCUUCCGAGAUAUUCACUGAAGCCCUGUACCUGCAUAGUAUUACAGAUAAAGUAUAAUUCCAUUUUGUGCUUGUAUACCAAAUGCACUCACUCUUAAUUUAUGCUAGUCACAUCGUCGUAUGACAUUGUGCCCUUGCUAGACGGCUCCUCGAAAACUUUAUUUUUCUGUGUAUUCAAUAUAAUAGUGUUGAAUAGCAGGAUUUGCAGUUUAACACACUUUGGCGUCAACAAAAUUAGCUCAAAAUUAGGGCCUCUACAGAUUUUCACAGAAAAAUAAAACCAAUAAGCUCGAAGCAAAACUUAUCUACUGAAAAAAGUUUGUGAAAGUUUAUCUAUAAAAGUAUAUUCACUGAAAGACACCGAAUUUUAUGAAUGAAAUGAAAACCGAAAAAAGUAUGCCAAAUUUUUUGAGAAUCGGAACCGAAAACGCAGAACCCUACUUAUAUAUGAGGCUGUGCACUGAAUUAUGAUAGAUGAAAAUAACUUUUAAUGUUGUGCUGCUUCAUUUAAAAUUUGCCACUUUUUAGUUUCUUGGCAAUAACGCACUCAACUAAUUAGAUGGCAAACAUCUACAUUCACUGCACAGCUUCUUUUUUUUUACUACAUUAGCACCAAAUCGCUUCCUGUUCUUACACUCCAGUUGCAGUUGGUAUAAUAAAGCAUACUUGAGUCAUUUCUUUAUCAAUAAAAGAAAUCUAACUUUCAACUUUUUCACUGUCUAGCAGACUUGAAGAGCCUUUGAAACCAUCUUUUAGAAUAUUGACAUGUAAUAAUAAGUUUAAAAUCAAAAUCAAAUGUUUUCCUGAAAGGUGGUGACACCCUUUAAUGCCAACUUCAGACUUUUUUCAAUAUCAAAGCCUAAAACUGAUGACUGACAGCCCAUUUUUUACUGAUAAGCAGGCAGUUGCACAUGAUUACAGACGUGGUUCUUGAGAGAACUCCAAAGCUUCUCAUGACCAACUUUUGUGAGCACUAUUAACAUGUACUAUUGGUGCCAAAGUUUUACUAGAUGCAGUAUACACAAAAAACAGUCAAUUUCCACAGCGCCACUGCACAUUGCCUAAAACUCAGAGAUGUAGCUUGCACUCCCUGAAAAAAAUAACAUACUAUGCAAGCACUAAUUCUAGGCUGCUUGCCUGCUGAAACUUAGGUCCUUUGCGAGACCCCACAGCACAUAAACCUUUCGCGCCUACAGUACAGAUGCACCACGUGGUGCUGCAAGGCCAUCAACACCAAGGAUAGGCACAUUACAAAGAUAGGCUGCGAAGGAGCCACAGCAAUGUGCAUACCAAGAGAUUGCAAUACGUGGGAAAGUGUUCCCUGCAUAAUGCGUUCUGCGCAGCAUGUUAUAGCAGAAAAAUAUAUCCAGAACAAGCAGGCGUAUGUGACUGUAUAAUAACACAGCUUGCAACAGCAAGGCAAGCACUGCAAACCCUGUACUAGAAAAGCGGCACUAAGCCUUCCACACCAAGGCUGGGUGCAAAGGCAUGGGUUACAAUGACAAAUAAAGCACAAUAAACCACAGAUGGGAGACAUUUCUGCAACAGUGCAUGCUACGAUAAUUUCUUAACCCCUUACCAGUUUGAAACCACGACGACUACUUGCAAAGCAUUUCAGCCAUUUUGGCUUCAAGAAUGUUUAAAUUGGACAGAAAAUAUAACAACAGAAGCACAUUCUGCUGAUGUAGAAAUUGGGAAGGAAGGGGGGGGGGGGGGGGGUUGGAGAAGAGAGAAGUAAGCAAUAUUGUAAAGCAAGAAAAACAUUAAAGAGGCAAACUUCUUAAUUAUCCAUAAAAUUGGACAUAUGAAAGCCUCUGAAUCACAUGUUGCCAUUGAUCAAUUUUAGUUGUGCAGCUUUUCAUGAGUUAAAUGAGACACUAGUUAAUUUUCCAGUCUUACCAACUUGUAUUAGAAGACAGUGGAAGCAUAUAAACGGUAGUAUUACAUGGCAAUUAUUCUGCAUAGCUUCCUGAAAGAACAACAUGCAUAUGCAAUAUCUUGGUGUUUGCUCAUCUAAACAUAGCUGCCUGCAAAAUGCAAUGGCAACAGCCUAAUUGGCAAAAUAUGAGCACAUUAUGCUUGACAUGGCCUAAUAUGAAAACUCAAUAUUCAUUCCAUGCAUAAUGGAUGUUUUGGCAUGCUUUUCUGGCUGCAGAAUGUGCACAAAGCAAUUUUCUAUAAAACACAAUUUGCCUGUGUUUGUUUUUGCAGAGCUUAAUAUUCUGGCAUGUGCUGACUUAAGACCACUUUACCGACAGCAGUGUGACAGCUGUGGAAAAAAAAUGUUUCUAAGGCACAAUCUGCUCUUCUGCCAUCACUUUCAAAUGUAGCUUAGCGGGCACACAUGAAGUUCUGCCAAAGGUGCAACACAUAACUGCAGAAAAUGAAGGAAGAAGUUGCACUUACGAUCCUCAUUCAGGGACAUUGCCCCUGCACUUGCUUCCUUGUUCAUCAUGCACAAACAGCCUAAGUACUUUUGAGCCAUGCCAGUUCGACUGUGGUUAAGUGCAUCGACAAAAAGCAUCAUGCCACGAUUGAUAUGUCAACUAAAACCAACAUGACAAAAUAACUGCAGCAGCACUCACAUUCCACGAAGGUAAAAGCUCAGUGCACACUGCAUUGCUGAUGAGGCCAAAGAUGCAAUGUUAUCUACCAACUCUUCCUACCACAGUGCUAAAAAUUCAGCAGUGUCACAAUCUCCUACAGCUCUAUGCAAUUUUCAACUAUAGUCGGAUUUACACGUUCAUUUAUAACUGCUCAAGAAGGUAGCAGGAAAACAACUUUUACAGCACUAAUGCUGAUAUAAAUCCAUCAAGAUGAAUCUUGCAUAUUGCUCAGAAAGCUCCGCAGGAGUGAACAAACUAGACUGCAAGGUUAAUAAAAGUGAUUUCACAUUUUCACACACUGAUGUUAUUGCAAUAACAUUUUCCACUUUUUUUUUUUCUUGACAAGGCAAAUGAAGGACACUUGCUGAAGUAUGGUGGUUUGCAGCCUUCAUUCGAAGCAGAUUGAGAGGCAAGUUCUUUGUGCCUAAGUUCUAAUGUGAACUGGAACUGGACUUCCUGUUCACUAUUGCUUGAAGCAAGAACUUUUUGUUACAGGCGGGAACUAACAUAAGUGAAAAUUGACAAGAUGCUGUUGCUUCCUGGCUAUUCUACGCCUAUUUUGAUACAACUCUAGAUAUCGCAAUGUACAGUGGCCCAGACCACUAAACAAAGCGCUUGACAACUUUUGGUUUUGAGCUGGUGUCAGAGUCACCAAAGAGGCAUUUAAUCAGAAAAAGAAAAGCAAUGCAUAAUAAGUAUAAAUUAAUUCAAGAAUUCAGAUCAUUAUGAAGAAGACCUGAUGUGCACACUGCUACAUGUAUGUGUUCACGCUAAAUACUCAACACUCCAGGCAAGCUCAAGAAUAGUGCAUGUAAGUGUUUAUGAUAAAUGCCAGACACUCAAGGCAGGCUCAAAAGUGAAUGGUAUCAAGGGCCCCAAGGAACCGAGGUGUGCAUUUACCAGUGAGCAAGACCAACUAUUAUAGUCACCAUACAUACACAUCAUAUUUAAAACAUGAACAUAUUUAUACAUUUACGUCGAGACAGGCCUAAAACAUCUGGCUAAAGUGCACAAAUGUCAUGAGGGGGUAUUUCUAACUGAGCUAAGAACCUCAAAAAAAUUACAACACACGAAGACUUCUGCCAAACAACUACUAUAAUUGCACACAGCCGUGUACUAUCGAC